AACGAACGCUGGCGGCAGGCCUAACACAUGCAAGUCGAGCGAGGACUUCGGUUCUAGCGGCGGACGGGUGAGUAACGCGUGGGAAUGUGCCCUUCUCUACGGAAUAGCCCUGGGAAACUGGGAGUAAUACCGUAUACGCCCUAUUGGGGAAAGAUUUAUCGGAGAAGGAUCAGCCCGCGUUGGAUUAGGUAGUUGGUGGGGUAAUGGCCUACCAAGCCGACGAUCCAUAGCUGGUUGAGAGGAUGAUCAGCCACACUGGGACUGAGACACGGCCCAGACUCCUACGGGAGGCAGCAGUGGGGAAUCUUAGACAAUGGGGGCAACCCUGAUCUAGCCAUGCCGCGUGAGUGAUGAAGGCCUUAGGGUUGUAAAGCUCUUUCAGCUGGGAAGAUAAUGACGGUACCAGCAGAAGAAGCCCCGGCUAACUCCGUG
rnacentral:rRNA from 1 species